AACUGGAAUCGACAUAAUUCGAUCACUACAGGAAAAGAAGGUUUUUCCGACUUUUUGUUGCGACGCUAGGUAUAAAUGUCGGCAAUUUUGGCUCAGGGGUAAAAAUUUGCUGAUGCUUCAAAGAAGCGUCGUAGAUACAACGAGUAGAUGACGCUUCAAAAAACGAAGCAUCGUCGGUGGUCAUUCCCUCCCCCCCAGCCCGGUUCCAACACCAAAACAAGAAAAGAUAAAUUCUAAUCCCCCUCUCUCGAUCCCUAAACCCUGCAACCGCCCCUCAACCCGCGCAACCCCCCCCCCCCCUCCCCCCUCCCCCUGCCCCACCUCAUGGCAGGGAUGACUGUGGAGUCGAGGAUAUCAAGGAGGGAUUGGUCCAGGAGCCCUCCGGCGGCGCGGGGAGCGGGGGGUACCAAUUCCAACGGUGGGGUGGAGGAUUGAGGUCGAGAUCGGAGGGGAAGUCGAGGAGGAGUAAGUCGUCAGCAGCGAGGCAACCCUCCGGCGGCUCUUCGAGAGGUUCCACCAUCGCUGUUUCUGAGAGGACCCAGGUUUCUCUCUGAUGCUCCCGUGGCGAGGCCCUCUUCCUCGCCUCUUCCUCUUCCUUUUCCUCGCCUCCGGACGAUCAGGGACUGCCUCAUGCCCGCCGCCUUCUUUGUCGCCUACUGCACCUUCCACCUCUGCCUCCUCUGCGGCCUUGUCGACCUCCUCAUCAACGGCUAUGCUGCAUCCUAUGCUAUCAAAGCGAGGCCUCUUAACCUCCUCCUCUGAAUGCACACCAAGUGUUUGAUGGUUGAUGAGCCCCUCCAACCCCUUCUCCCCCAAGGCCAUCUACGGUGAGUCCCCCAACCCCUUCUCCCGCAACUCUAAUUUUUUGCUGGUUUUGGUUGCAGAAGCGGAGAGGGUUGAAGGGAAUGGAGAGCAUGGACAGUGAUUAGGAAUAGUGAUGGAGGUGAAGAAAACUAAGAAUCUGAAGCUAGGGUUGAAGAGAGAAAAUAAGAGAAAAAA